AGUGAACGCUGGCGGUAGGCCUAACACAUGCAAGUCGAACGGCAGCACAGUAAGAGCUUGCUCUUACGGGUGGCGAGUGGCGGACGGGUGAGGAAUACAUCGGAAUCUACUUUUUCGUGGGGGAUAACGUAGGGAAACUUACGCUAAUACCGCAUACGACCUACGGGUGAAAGCAGGGGAUCUUCGGACCUUGCGCGAUUGAAUGAGCCGAUGUCGGAUUAGCUAGUUGGCGGGGUAAAGGCCCACCAAGGCGACGAUCCGUAGCUGGUCUGAGAGGAUGAUCAGCCACACUGGAACUGAGACACGGCCCAGACUCCUACGGGAGGCAGCAGUGGGGAAUAUUGGACAAUGGGCGCAAGCCUGAUCCAGCCAUACCGCGUGGGUGAAGAAGGCCUUCGGGUUGUAGAGCCCUUUUGUUGGGAAAGAAAAGCAGCAGGUUAAUACCCCGCUGUUCUGACGGUACCCAAAGAAUAAGCACCGGCUAACUUCGUG
rnacentral:rRNA from 1 species